AUGAACGCUGGCGGCGUGCCUCAUACAUGCCAGUCGCGCGAACAGACGAGGAGCUUGCUCCUCUGACGUUAGCGGCGGACGGGUGAGUAACACGUGGAUAACCUACCUAUAAGACUGGGAUAACUUCGGGAAACCGGAGCUAAUACCGGAUAAUAUAUUGAACCGCAUGGUUCAAUAGUGAAAGACGGUUUUGCUGUCACUUAUAGAUGGAUCCGCGCCGCAUUAGCUAGUUGGUAAGGUAACGGCUUACCAAGGCGACGAUGCGUAGCCGACCUGAGAGGGUGAUCGGCCACACUGGAACUGAGACACGGUCCAGACUCCUACGGGAGGCAGCAGUAGGGAAUCUUCCGCAAUGGGCGAAAGCCUGACGGAGCAACGCCGCGUGAGUGAUGAAGGUCUUCGGAUCGUAAAACUCUGUUAUUAGGGAAGAACAAAUGUGUAAGUAACUAUGCACGUCUUGACGGUACCUAAUCAGAAAGCCACGGCUAACUACGUG
rnacentral:rRNA from 1 species